rnacentral:rRNA from 1 species
UACGGGGGGGGCAAGCGUUGUUCGGAAUUACUGGGCGUAAAGGGCCAGUAGGCGGCCAACUAAGUCGGAUGUGAAAUCCCUCAGCUUAACUGGGGAACUGCGUCUGAUACUGGAUGGCUUGAGUUUGGGAGAGGGGAUGCGGAAUUCCAGGUGUAGCGGUGAAAUGCGUAGAUAUCUGGAGGAACACCGGUGGCGAAGGCGGCAUCCUGGACCAACACUGACACUGAGGAGCGAAAGCCAGGGGAGCAAACGGG